rnacentral:snRNA from 1 species
UCAUCGAAUACUGACGAUCGAU